rnacentral:rRNA from 1 species
AUGUCCAUCACCGCCCACUAUAUCAAUGCAGAAUUCAUCUACAAGAAGAAGAUCAUAAGUUUCGCAGAGGUGAAGUAUCCUCACACGGGCUAUGCGAUAGAAGAGGAACAAUGGGGCAUAAGGGGCAAGCUGUUCACUUUGACACUAGAUAAUGCCAGCAAUAAUACUAAUGCAUGUGAUGAGUUAAUAAAAUAUCACAAACAUGAGCUGCUCCUUGAAGGUCAACAUUUGCAUGUGAGGUGCUGUGCACACAUUCUCAAUAUCUUGGUUCAGGAUGGAAUGAAGAUAAUCCAUGAAGCUAUUGACAUGAUACGAGAGUUGCUGAAGUUUAUUGACUCUUCUCCUUCAAGACUUCAAGAUUACAAUACAAUUGCAAGUGGGAUGGGUCUGUCUUCAAAGAAAGGUAUCUCUGUUGAUACACCAACCAGAUGGAACUCAACAUGGAAAAUGCUUGUAGAA